AGAGUUUGAUCCUGACUCAGAUUGAACGCUGGCGGCAUGCCUAACACAUGCAAGUCGAACGGUAGCAGGCCUUCGGGUGCUGACGAGUGGCGGACGGGUGAGUAAUGCGUAGGAAUCUGUCUUUUAGUGGGGGACAACCCAGGGAAACUUGGGCUAAUACCGCAUGAGCCCUGAGGGGGAAAGCGGGGGAUCUUCGGACCUCGCGCUAAGGGGGGAGCCUACGUCUGAUUAGCUAGUUGGUAGGGUAAAGGCCUACCAAGGCGACGAUCAGUAGCUGGUCUGAGAGGACGACCAGCCACACUGGGACUGAGACACGGCCCAGACUCCUACGGGAGGCAGCAGUGGGGAAUUUUUCGCAAUGGGGGCAACCCUGACGAAGCAAUGCCGCGUGGAUGAAGAAGGCCUUCGGGUUGUAAAGUCCUUUCGUGGGGGACGAAAAGGUGGUUCCUAAUACGAGCUGCUGUUGACGUGAACCCAAGAAGAAGCACCGGCUAACUCCGUGCCAGCAGCCGCGGUAAUACGGGGGGUGCAAGCGUUAAUCGGAAUCACUGGGCGUAAAGGGUGCGUAGGCGGUACGUUAGGUCUGUCGUGAAAUCCCCGGGCUCAACCUGGGAAUGGCGGUAGAAACCGGCGCACUAGAGUAUGGGAGAGGGUGGUGGAAUUCCAGGUGUAGCGGUGAAAUGCGUAGAUAUCAGAAGGAAGGCCGGUGGCGAAGGCGGCUUCCUGGAACAGUCCUGACA
rnacentral:rRNA from 1 species